rnacentral:rRNA from 1 species
AUACGGAGGGGGCAAGCGUUGUUCGGAAUUACUGGGCGUAAAGCGCGCGUAGGCGGGCUGGUUAGUUGGGGGUGAAAUCCCAGGGCUUAACCCUGGAACUGCCUCCAAUACUGCCAGUCUAGAGUUCGAGAGAGGUGAGUGGAAUUCCUAGUGUAGAGGUGAAAUUCGUAGAUAUUAGGAAGAACACCAGUGGCGAAGGCGGCUCACUGGCUCGAUACUGACGCUGAGGUGCGAAAGCGUGGGGAGCAAACAGGAUUAGAAACCCUAGUAGUCC